UGCGUAGACGGUUUCGUAAGUCGGGUGUGAAAUCCCCGGGCUCAACCUGGGAAUUGCAUUCGAGACUGCGAGGCUAGGGUGCGGAAGAGGGAAGCGGAAUUUCCGGUGUAGCGGUGAAAUGCGUAGAUAUCGGAAGGAACAUCAGUGGCGAAAGCGGCUUCCUGGUCCAGCACCGACGUUCAGGCACGAAAGCGUGGGGAGCAAACAGGAUUAGAUACCCUGGUAGUCCACGCCAUAAACGAUGAGAACUAGACGUUGAGAGGGUAAGCCUCCCAGUGUCGCAGCUAACUCGUUAAGUUCUCCGCCUGGGGAGUACGGCCGCAAGGUUGAA
rnacentral:rRNA from 1 species